UAGUAGCCUUCAGAGAUUUACUCGACAUAUACAUUUUUGUUAUCUUUUUUUCCAUCCCCAGGAUCGUCCGGCUACCAGCGACAGGAUCAACAACGUUCGGCGAGCGAAAUGGCGACUCUAGCCAGCCUUGCAGAAGCAAUCGCUUCGGGCACCGGGGUGAUGGGAAACAGCCCGACCGGCAAGAAAAAAGUAUAGCAAACUAAAAAUCACCACCACCCUGCAAAACGAUUCUACUGCUUCUGCGCAUCGGUGCAUCCGGAAGUUAUCGCUCACUCGAACGCCGGCCAGUGCGCCGGAAGUCCGAUUAAUGCUUCCGCUUCGUUCGGUUGGCUGGAUGCCUGGCGGAUGCUCAGUAGGACUUGUCUGCUUUGUAAUGGGUUUUUAUUUGCAGUUUGUGUUUUUUUCCCUCCUGUUCAUCUCCUUAGGGCGGGCGCGAUUGCAUCUCGCCCGUUCGUCCAUGAAAUUGCUCGGUUUAUAUUAGGCCACACAGAUGGAACUAGUUCCAUGCUGGACGAAGAAAUAUCUUAGCACCAGCCAAAGGAAUAGUUUUAUGUGAACUAGACAGGUUCAUGGAAAUGCAAGAAACUACACUUUAAAAAGAGUGCCUGCCUUCUUGUGCACAACAUUUGUACUGGUUUACAGCUUUAUUUUACGGUUCAUUUAUCUUGGAUUUUUGUUUUUUUAGCUCAUGUUUUACUGCAUAAAUAAUCAAUCGGUAAUUGUUUCUUUCCUGCAAGCCUCCUGUUAGGAUAGAAUGCGUUAAAUGCACCGAACUCUACAUCAACACAGCAGCAGCCGCCCGGAAACUGGCUUGAUGGAAAUGGAAGGGAAAAAGUUCCUUCAAUGACGUACGCCAAAACAGCGUAACGCCACGUCGGAAACGUCACCGUAGCUUGAUGCCGGAUGUGAGGGAAAAAUCACAUAAAAUCCCUUUAGGGUAGUGUUUACUACAAUCGGACAUCGAAAUGCGUCUGCAUCCGACCGAUCGAAUGAUUCGUUUCCGGAUAGACGAACACAGCCGAUAUUGAUGUGAUGUAAAGUACCACACAUCUACUUCAUUCGAGAGAGAAUAUUAAACCACGAUUUCGGCACUGUUGCCGAACAUUAACAUUAAUAUGCUAGUUCUAAUUAAUGAAAAUUGUUCAAUAAACUUGAAAAUAUCAAUUA